GAUCAUGGCUCAGGAUGAACGCUAGCUACAGGCUUAACACAUGCAAGUCGAGGGGCAGCAUUUUAGUUUGCUUGCAAACUAAAGAUGGCGACCGGCGCACGGGUGAGUAACACGUAUCCAACCUGCCGAUAACUCGGGGAUAGCCUUUCGAAAGAAAGAUUAAUACCCAAUGAUAUCUCUAGAAGACAUCUGAAAGAGAUUAAAGAUUCAUCGGUGAUGGAUGGGGAUGCGU
rnacentral:rRNA from 1 species